rnacentral:lncRNA from 1 species
UCUCAAGAUGUUGCCCAUACUGGUUCAAACUCCUGCCUUAAGUGAUCCUCCAGCCUCAACCUCCCACGUAGUUGGGAUUACAGGCAUGAGCCACAGUGCCCAGCUGCCAAUAUGCUUUGAAUUUUCAGUAAGGACUGUCGUUGAGGAAGAUCAAUUGCUCAGGUUUGAACAUUUCCCAAACACAAAGCAAAAAAUCAAAAAGAAAGAAGCCAGUAUCUACUGGACAAGGCAGUGUGCAAGGCAGUUUCCCAGAGAGAUGGAAACACAAAGCUGUCCUCGGAGAAGUAACUCACUGAGAAGAAGGCUGUUCAUGGGGCAUGUUUGACACUGGUCCUCCGCCGGCCCCAUGCAGUGGAAGCACUUAACAUGGCAGGGCUUGCACCCGGGAGCAUCCUCAUCCCAGUACUCGGAGGGAAAUUGAGGCUGGAGAUGCUAAGUCACUUACGCUAAGUAGUAUCAGGAGUUGAGCCCAGGACCUUAGCAACUGCCUUGCUGCUUCUGCUCCAGUGCUUCAGGAAAGAGAAAGGCCAGAAGUUGAACCUCAGUUCCUGCCCUCGCAGAGGCAAGAUGGCGCUGGAGGCCUGCUGCUGAGUCUCUCACCUCCCAGAAGCCAUUCCCAGCUCCACAGCCUGCCUCCCACACGAACACCCGCCUCUUCUGCAUGCGGACACAGCCUUGACAUCCACGCCUUUUCACAUAUGGGCAGGUAGGACAUUAACACUAAAUAGUGCUUUAUAUAAAACACACAAAAAGACAUAUCCACAGCACAAGGCUGGAGCAGAAAGCCUUCAGGACCGAGACACAUCUUCGUGUCCUACUAAAAACCUUCCCCUCAGUAUGUCCUAGGGUGUGGGUGUCCCAGGGUUUCUCAGUGGAAGGUCACUCUCAGGCUCUCGCGGUUGUUAGGGGAAUUGCCUCUGGACAUCUAUCUUGUCGUGUUUGCUUGGGGGCGACAUGUGGGGGUGAAGGACCUCAGGCUGCCUCAACAGAGUGAAUCCUGGGCUCUAGAAAAGCCCCCGCCCCACAACAUUUCUCUCACUUGCUAGAGAAUUCUAGAGUGCAUAACUUAUUUUAUUUUUCUGUUCCUUGAUAAUGAAUAAGAGGCAAAUGAUUCAUGCCGAGUUAAAACAUAAGGAGGUAUAAAUAAUAGCAGAUCCUUUCUUGAACAUGCAGGGACUGAGUGGGAGUGGAAAUGGGGACCUUGGAGCAGGAAUUGAAGGAUAUGAAGAGGAAGGUGGGGAGCUUCCAGGGAGCAAACCAUGAAGGGAGGCUGGGCGCGGUGGCUCACACCUGUAAUCCCAGCACUUUGGGAGGCCAGGGUGGGCGGAUCACUUGAGAUCAGGCAUUCAGGACCAGCCUGGCCAACAUGGUGAAACCCUGUCUCUACUAAAAAUGCAAAAAUUAGCUAGGUGUGGUGGCAGCCACCUAUAAUCCCAGCUACUCAGGAGGCUGAGGCAGGAGAACCACUUGAACCCAGGAGGUGGAGGCUGCGAUGAGCUGAGAUCAUGCCACUGCACUCCAACCUGGGCAACAGAGUGAGACUCCAUCUCAAGAACAACAAUAACAAAAUAUGGACCGAGCGCCAUGGCUCACGCUUAUUAUCCCAGCACUUUGGAAGGGCGAGGCAGGUGGAUCACUUGAGGUCAGGAGUUCAAGACCAGCCUGGUCAACAUGGUGAAACCCCCUCUCUACUAAAAAUAGAAAAAUUAGCCAGGCGUGGUGGCACACGCCUGUAGUCCCAGUUACUCAGGAGCCUGAGGCAGGCAAAUCGCUUGAACCCAGGAGGCAGAGGUUAUAGUAAGCCAAGAUCGUGCCACCGCACUCUAGCCAACAGAGUGAGACUCUGUCUCAAAAAAAAAAAAAAAAUCACCCAGGAAGGGAGACAAGAGGCACCAAGAAAGUCCCUUAUGGUGUCACAAUUUGCUUGUGUUAUCAAGAAAAGUCUCAGGUAGCUUUUGAAGGCUCCUCCUCUCUGCUGUAAAUCUUUAUAUGAUAACUUCUUUUGACCAGCAGUUCAUAGCCACUGUUGUGAGGAAGGUCCACGUGAUUUGUCACUAAUAAAAGUUACCUGUACAAAGCUUAUGAGUGAUUCAUUUAAAGAUUAUUUACAACCGGUUCAAAAUAUGCCUCCUUGAGUGAGAUGGUAAAGGAUGAGAUGGACUGGUCAUGGUGACUCACACCUGUAAUCCCAGCACUUUGGGAGCCCAAGGCAGAGGAUUGCUUGAAGCCAGGAGUUCAAGACCAGCCUAGGCAACAUUCUGAGACCUCAUCUCUAUGUUCCCAGCAACUCUGGAGGCUGAGGUGGGAGGAUCACUUGAGCCCAGGAGGCGGAGGCUUCAGUGAGCCAUGUUCGUGCUACUGAACUUGAGCCUGGGCAAUAGAGGGAGACCUUGUCCCAAAACAAAAACAAAACACAACAAAAAAAAGAUUGAGAUGACAGCUCUGGCGCUGGGGCUGGGGCUGGAACUAUGCAAACCCCGGAGCCUAUUUUGAAUCCCAGAAGUCUUUACCUCUGCACUCCUUAGUCUCCUUUUCAUAAUAGGUUCCUGCUGGACACUCCUCCAAGCACAGUCCAUCAUAGAGGACCCAGGAACUCUCAAGACAGAGCUCGCAGUCGUCGGCUUUGGGGCCACUGCACUCCAGACAGUCUUUAUGGCAGGGGACACAGUGGCGCGAGUCUGCAUAGAAGCCACGGGGACAGGACUGGUGGCACAUAUCAUCGUGCAGGAAGAACUCAGGCGUGCACUCUGGGAAAAGGAGGAAGCAGCAAGUUAUCCCCGGGGGGUAGGAGAAAGGAAUUCAUUGUCUGCAGUAGGCUAGCUCCUCCCUCAGCACUUUGGUUGAUUUGACCUGAGAGUAUGCUUGCCCUUUACCCACCCUGCCAGGGCAUAGACUUGAUGUCUAACAAGCCCUGCCUUGGGACAAGGAGGCCACACAUGGUGACCGUAUUAGAUGGUGCUGGACUUACACAAUGAAAUGGUCUGCCCUUUGGAGGUGCAGUGCAAAAAUUUGCAAUGCUGCAAAAGACAGGGAUGGCUGAGAGGCUGGCGGUAUUGUUUGAAAAACCCGAAGAGCAUUAACAGAUUUAAAAAAUUGUAUUGAGAACCUCACACUGUUUUCAACACAGAAAGCAGUUUAGGAAUGGUUGGAUUAGUUAACUUUUCAUUCAUUGAUCAGGUACAACAAUGAAUACAGGAUUGAUCAGUGUGAAGAAUACAUUGCGGGUUUAUUUUUUUUGUGUUCAUUUUCUUACUUUGGGGGGAAUCCUGGGAAACACUUGAGGUCACACCAAGAGAAUACUUUGGAUAGGACAGCACCAGUUAAAUGAGUCUGUCUUAUUCUGGAGAGAAAAUUGAACAGCUUUUUGGGGGAGAUAAUUCCUGAGGGAAAAAAACAACAAAAUUCAUUCACAGCCAGAGUGGUCAUCUCAGUCAUAGUUGCCCGAACUUUUCUUUCCUAUCCUUUUUAACAACUGCAGUUUUCUAGCUACCUCUGUGUUUUGUGGCUUACUAUCAGUCUGUAAGAUUUUGUGUUCCAAAAGAUGGGAACAGCUGGGCGUGGUGCCUCACGCUUGUAAUCCCAGCACUUUGGGAGGCUGAGGACGGUGGAUCACCUGAGGUCAGGAGUUUGAGACCAGCCUGACCAACAUGGAGAAACCUCGUCUCUACUAAAAAUGUUAAAAUUAGCCCGGCGUGGUGGAGCGUGCCUGUAAUCCCAGCUACUCUGGAGGCUGAGGCAGGAGAAUCGCUUAAACAUGGGAGGCAGAAGUUGCAGUGAGCUGAGAUUGAGCCAUUGCACUCCAGCCUGGGCAACAAGAGUGAAACUCCAUCUCAAGGAAAAAAAAAAGAUGAGAACAUUGGGUUCUUCUCUGUACCUCUAGCACCUAGGAUAGCACUUGCACAUCUGCUGUGUGUGUACAUAUGGGGGUGAGUGUAAGAGAUCAUGCAAAAAGGGGCUCUUGCUUGUCUUAACUUGCAGCAUCCAUAAUGAAAAGGGUGUAUCUCACCCUCAGUUUCUCUGAUGACAGGCACAGAGACAUACCUUUCAGGAAUGGUAGGGAGACUGGUUCCCACAGCUCUUUGCCAUCCACCCUCAGAUAAUCGGCCCCCAACUGGUGGCUCAGCAGAGCCUUGCUCUCCUGUGGGAAGCUCCUAGGUACCUUUGCAUGUUUUCUCAUGGAUGCAGUCCUGACACAUCUCUGGGCAAUGCUUGCAUACCCCCUUCACAGCCACGUGCCUCUCGGGGCAGUUUUCCUGGCACACUCCGUGGUGCAGGACGUGGCCUCCUUCACAAGAAUGGCAGUUGGUGGCGUUUCCUUCACAUGUUCUGCAAGGAGAGCUACAGCGUUCACAUAUGCCGUCUUCUGCAUAAGAGCCCCUGUGGAAGGAAGACAGAGUGCAACUGGAGAAGCUGACCUGCUGGAGAAGUGACUCAUUCCUGGGGAAAAGGAAUUAGGUCUAAAAACAAAAGGGCUGCUGCUGUCGUCAGCUGAGAGGCAUCCAUGGGAUUUAUAAGGAAGUGAAAAGAACAUUCAGAAAAAUGGAAGGAAAAGGACAAGCAUUAUUCUUGUGAAAGGAAAAUAAAUCUUGGGACCCCAGUAUUACUAAGCCAAAGGGAAAAAUCAAGCUGGGAACUGCUUAGGGUAAACCUGCCUCCCACGCUAUUCCUUAAAAAGAUAGCUAACUGGCCGGGUGUGGUGGCUCACGCUUGUAAUCCCAGCACUUUGGGAGGCCGAGGUGGGCAGGUCAUCAGGUCAGGAGAUCGAGACCAUUCUGGCCAACAUGGUGAAACACUGUCUCUACUAAAAAAUACAAAAAUUAGCUGGGUGUGGUGGUGCACGCCUAUAGUCUCAGCUACUCGGGAGGCUGAGACAGGAGAAUCACUUGAACUCGGGAGGCAGAGGCUGCAGUGAGCCGAGAUCAUGCCACUGCACUCCAACCUGGUGACAGAGUGAGACUCUGUCUUAAAAAAAAAAAAACAAAACCAAAAACCAGAUAGUUACUAAGAUUUUAAAAAG